GACGAACGCUGGCGGCGUGCCUAAUACAUGCAAGUAGAACGCACAGUUUAUACCGUAGCUUGCUACACCAUAGACUGUGAGUUGCGAACGGGUGAGUAACGCGUAGGUAACCUGCCUGGUAGCGGGGGAUAACUAUUGGAAACGAUAGCUAAUACCGCAUAAUAUUGAUUAUUGCAUGAUAAUUGAUUGAAAGAUGCUAUUGCAUCACUACCAGAUGGACCUGCGUUGUAUUAGCUAGUAGGUGAGGUAACGGCUCACCUAGGCGACGAUACAUAGCCGACCUGAGAGGGUGAUCGGCCACACUGGGACUGAGACACGGCCCAGACUCCUACGGGAGGCAGCAGUAGGGAAUCUUCGGCAAAGGACGAAAGUCUGACCGAGCAACGCCGCGUGAGUGAAGAAGGUUUUCGGAUCGUAAAGCUCUGUUGUAAGAGAAGAACGGGUGUGAGAGUGGAAAGUUCACACUGUGACGGUAUCUUACCAGAAAGGGACGGCUAACUACGU
rnacentral:rRNA from 1 species